GAUGAACGCUGGCGGCGUGCUUAACACAUGCAAGUCGAGCGAAGCAGUUAAGUUGAUUUCUUCGGAUUGAUUCUUAACUGACUGAGCGGCGGACGGGUGAGUAACGCGUGGGUGACCUGCCCCAUACCGGGGGAUAACAGCUGGAAACGGCUGCUAAUACCGCAUAAGCGCACAGAGCUGCAUGGCUCGGUGUGAAAAACUCCGGUGGUAUGGGAUGGGCUCGCGUCUGAUUAGGCAGUUGGCGGGGUAACGGCCCACCAAACCGACGAUCAGUAGCCGGCCUGAGAGGGCGACCGGCCACAUUGGGACUGAGACACGGCCCAAACUCCUACGGGAGGCAGCAGUGGGGAAUAUUGCACAAUGGGGGAAACCCUGAUGCAGCGACGCCGCGUGAGCGAAGAAGUAUUUCGGUAUGUAAAGCUCUAUCAGCAGGGAAGAUAAUGACGGU
rnacentral:rRNA from 1 species